CGGUAUUUUGACCGUGCUAAGGUAGCAUAAUCAAUUGUUUUUUAAUUGAAAACUAGCAUGAACGGUUUAAUUAAUUUAAUUAGUUUGUAAAUUUUAAUAGUAAAUUAAAUAUAAAGUAAUAAUUCUUUAAUACAUUAGGGGACGAUAAGACCCUAAAAGCUUUAUGAAAAGUAUUUAAUUGGUGUUAGUGGUAAUAUUAAUUCACUGGGGCAGUGAAUUUAUUUGUAUUAAAAAAAAAAUUAAGGGGUCCUUUAAAUAAAGAUUUUAUGUGUAAGUUACUUUAGGGAUAACAGUGCAAUAUAUU
rnacentral:rRNA from 1 species